GUGGGGAAUAUUGGACAAUGGGCGAAAGCCUGAUCCAGCCAUGCCGCGUGUGUGAAGAAGGUCUUCGGAUUGUAAAGCACUUUAAGUUGGGAGGAAGGGCAGUAAGUUAAUACCUUGCUGUUUUGACGUUACCGACAGAAUAAGCACCGGCUAACUUCGUGCCAGCAGCCGCUGUAAUACGAAGGGUGCAAGCGUUAAUCGGAAUUACUGGGCGUAAAGCGCGCGUAGGUGGUUUUGUAAGUUGGAGGUGAAAUCCCCGGGCUCAACCUGGGAACUGCCUCCAAAACUGCAAGACUAGAGUACGGUAGAGGGUAGUGGAAUUUCCUGUGUAGCGGUGAAAUGCGUAGAUAUAGGAAGGAACACCAGUGGCGAAGGCGACUACCUGGACUGAUACUGACACUGAGGUGCGAAAGCGUGGGGAGCAAACAGGAUUAGAAACCCUUGUAGUCC
rnacentral:rRNA from 1 species